UACGGAGGGUGCGAGCGUUGUCCGGAAUCACUGGGCGUAAAGGGUGCGUAGGCGGGUCUUUAAGUCAGGGGUGAAAUCCUGGAGCUCAACUCCAGAACUGCCUUUGAUACUGAGGAUCUUGAGUUCGGGAGAGGUGAGUGGAACUGCGAGUGUAGAGGUGAAAUUCGUAGAUAUUGCAAGAAUACCAGUGGCGAAGGCGGCUCACUGGCCCGAUACUGACGCUGAGGCACGAAAGCGUGGGGAGCAACAGGG
rnacentral:rRNA from 1 species